AAUAAUGACAAAAAAAAAAAAAAUCAAAUCAACGACCUUACUCUGAUUUUCAUCCACGCAUUUACAAUUUCCACCGUUUUCCAUCUGAUUUGUUACAUAAUUCAGUAUUGUCCAAUUUAGUGCAACUGCUGCGUAAAUUGGCACACUUCCUACACUUCUUGGGAGAGUCAUACAAACCCAACAGUCUGAAACACUAAAACCUUCCUUCAGCAAGAUUUUCAAUUAGCUUUACAUACCUAUUUUCCAGCCAAGCUAAAGCAACAGUUAAAACUAUAGAAGACAGAAAAAUAUUAAGACAUUUAUUUUCUUAACAUAAGUUUCAGAGCUCUCUUGGGGGUACAGGUCCACUGAAGUUUUGAGGCCUUCUUUGCCCUGCAGCGACACGUCCAUGAAAGCGGCUCCUAAAUUCAGAUUGCCAGGUGGGCGUUGACAAAUAGUCAAAAUGGUCCAUCCCGUUUCGACUAGGACAGUAGAUCGGAAAGAAAUGUAAUAUACACAUAACAGCCUGGAAAAAUAUCAUGUAACAAUCCAUCAAGGCCUCAGACACUACUCCCCAAAACCGCUACUUCUAUUCCCCUGAUCUGCCUCUGCAGGCUUAUCAAACAUUCAGUUAGUAUUGAAUGUGUGAAAUUCACAAAAAGAAAAAAGAAAAACUCUGCAUGAUGGCAAGAAAUGCUGUUCAGCCAUGAAGGAAAAAACAAUCUAAAGUUUGAUGUCAGCAAACUAAGGCACUGACAACCCAUCACUACUUCAGAGCCCUAACCAAUUUAGCGUGAGGACAAAUGUGAUGAGAGUGGGAAAAGCUGGACUUGGACUACUGUUGCCUUCUGCAACUGCAAUGUUAACCUCCUGCAUUAGCCCUAGUGCGCACUGACCAAUUACCUGAUCAGGGCCAAAUGACUGCAGACGUACACCAACAUGAUGAGCAGUAAAAUGGCGUCUAUUCACUACUAAGCACAGCUUAUAUACCUUUACUUAAGCUAUCGUGCCCUGUCCUGAUUUGUCUGUACUGGAUCUAACCCCUUACCACAAUUCCUUAUUUGGCUCCUAUUGUCUCCUCAUUCCUUCGCCUUCUUAUCUUGUUUACUACAUUAACAAGGACAGUCUGUCUGAGCACAACAGCACCCUUUCACUAUGCUUAGGGAGAGGCCUAUCCCAUACGGCACGUAUCCCCGCAAAGCACCUACUACAACAGACUACAUUGGGGAAUAUUUGGGAUUUGGGCCAAAGGGCACACAGAGUAAUCACUUAUCCCUUGCCAAGCAUCAGUGCACAACCAGUGCACAAACACAGGAAGACAUGUAAGCCCCAUCGAAUCUGGUAGUGGAGUCUCCAGUCCAACAAGAAAAGAAGAAACAUUGGCAUGUGGUACCAAACAACAUGGGUUAGGAUGAAAUAAAUGUAAUUCCAGACACCCCAAAUUAUACAGGACACUCACACGAUAGCUGUAGUGGAGCCUACAUCUUCAUUUUCCAUCACACUGGGUCAAAGAACAUCAGUUUACAUUUCACUUGGUGUAUCUCCAAAGAGGCAUUGACAGGCAACAUGAAACACAAGAAAACAGAGAAGAGUACCACCGCAUAACAAGAAGACACGUUACUGAACCUAAAAAGAAAGAACACCACCAUGUUGACAGGGAGCAACAGAAGGCACUGACAUCCAGCAGUACUGGAGAGCCCUAAGCCAGCUGGUGUGGGGACAGACCAGGUGAGUGAUGGUCGAGCCGGAGUUGGACUCCAUCAGGGAACAUUUGGACUUGGCAAGCACAGGGAGAUUGCAAAGCGCCAGGUGGCAAGGAGAGAAAAGGAAUGUGCUGCUGAUGGAUGUGAGAGGCAGUGCCAGCGGGGCGUCCCCCGCUUCAAGGGGCACUUCUCCUGUCUCACCCAGGGCAGCCUCUCUCCCCAUUUCUUUUGGUUGGAUUCUGAAGGCUUUGAUCCAUUGACACACCACAUCUGCCUGGCCAGAGCGAGACAUGGAGGCCAAAGGGAGCUCCUGCUUGGAAAUGGAGAGUGGGAAAGGGUGUCAAGUAAGAGGAACACCCUUGGAAAGCCAAGUGAGCACAAGCGAAAACCAACAACAAGCCCAUAGGACCUCUGCAAGCAUUGGAAUGACCUCAGGGGACAACAGAGCUUGCCAGACAGAGGAAGGAAUAGAUAUUGGCAUCCAUUUACGGAUGUGGGUUCUCGCUGUGUCCACCAAGAGCCUCAGUAGAGUCCUUGCACUGCUCAGCAGGGUCACAACUCUCCAGUGCCACCUUAUGAACACAAGAAAAGGUAAGUAGAGAUUACCUUCUAGUGAGGAUGCAGGAAUCACUCACCCCUUUCCAAGGAUCAGGGCACAUCCCACACUGCAAUCAAGGAGGUCAGGGAAGGCAUCACCAUGUGGUGGGUAAGUCUCCAAUACUAGAAGGAAAGAAGAAACCUUCAAAUCAGGUACUGAACCACAUGGGUUACACAGAAAAACAGAUGUCAAGCUAGAAACCCCAAGUCAUACGACACACUCACUGCAAGCCUGUUUUGGAGUUUACCACUUGAUUUUCCAUCUCACUUGGUCAAACCUUACCAGAAAUCAUUUGGUUUAUUGCAGACCCAGGAUGGAUCAAUAAGCAGCCCGGAAAAAAAAUAAAAAAUA
ensembl:lncRNA